rnacentral:lncRNA from 10 species
UGGGGCUUCAUUCACGGCCCCCCUACCGUCCGCGUACACACUCACGCCCCGGGGGCGCGGCCGCCACGUGGGGAGUGGCGCGGGGGUGGCCCUCGGACCGCACCCCCUCUCGUCCUGGCGGUGUGGGCCCCGCUUUCCCCCAGCGCUGGAGACUCCGAGCCCGGCCGGUCCCACAUUCCACGCGAGCUGAAUUCUCGCCCGCAUCCCGCCCGGGCAGCAGGAAUUGCGGGCUCCGGGAGGCGCUCGGGCUCCGAGAAGCGGCUCAGCCCCGCGCCCCUCCCUCCGCAGUACCGCUGCCGGCGGACCAGGAUUCCCGCGGGUCCUGGCGGCUGCGAGCGCGAGGCGGCGCGGAUUCGCGGCUCGGUUCCGGCGCGACUGCUCACCGCGCCCGCCUUGCCUCCCGCGGCUGCCCCGUGCACUGGGCGCUCCUCUGCGCGUCUACCCGGCCCGUCUCGGCUUUCCUUCUCCUCCCUCUAGUCCCAGUAUCACAAGUCCGCCGACCUCCGCUGCCCUGAGAGCGCAUCCAGCGCGGGCGGAGUCGGACGGACUCGGGCUUCACGCCUCGCGCGGGCACCUCUUCUCCCGGGCACUGCGGCCCAGGGGAGGCAGAGUCCUUCCGGAGUUUGACCCUUGGAUUCCAUCCAGAGCAGCCUCCAAAAUGACACCUUUGAAGUUGUGUAUCGAGCUGGGAGAUGUAAAGGGAGGAGAAGAAAGAAGAUGA